UCGAAAUAAGAUUGCAUUAGC
rnacentral:piRNA from 1 species